rnacentral:misc_RNA from 1 species
AAUGAAGUCUAUGGUGCCAUAGAUGUAGCAUGCUUUGUAGAAUUGUCGUUGAGAGUGGACAAAAAGAGUGUCUUGGUAUCCUUGGAAAGAGCAUCGAUAAAAUACUGAGAGAUCUGAAGCAGAUCGAAGUGCAACUGCUUGGCCUUUCUGGGGACCUGCUGUGUUGCUAAAGGUUAUGCCGCGAGCGACAAAGCGAAGGCCAUCAAUCCCAGCAGUUGCAGAACUGUAGGUUGUAUAACCACCUCCAACGCUUCUGCCACUCGCUAUUAUUGUACUUCUCAGGCCAUCGCCAAUCAGCCAAAUAUUGUUAUUAUUGAUGCCAACCUCAAUAUUCUCCCUAUAAACACCUCUCUUCACAUGGAUAAUAAACCUAGUACCAUAUCUCCUCUUUGCCGCCGCAUCAAGAGCUGCCUGAACAGUCCUGAAAUGCCCCGAACCAUCUUGUGCCACCACCAGAUUUGCUUUGGCUGUUAUUGAUGAAGAUUGCAAUAGCCUCCUUUCGUUCCUCGAGAACCAUCUAGGAAAUCCUUCUGUAUUAUUAUCCUCUACGGAAAGCAAAACUCCAUUAAGAGCUAAGCUGUUGCUAAUGAGCUCAGAUAAAUUAUUGGACAUGAUUGGCAUGAUAAAAUCUGACACGUUAAAAUCUAACGACCCAGUUCGGCAAGUUUGGAUAUUGGUUAGGGCAGUGCUCAGCCAAGUUUGUGCAUCAAAAUUUGUACAGCCGUUCUUUGUUUGUAUACCUUGCAGGGUGCGGUUUAGUUGAACAAUGGUAUCGGCAUGGAGUUUGAAACAAUCAAUCCACACGGCUCUAUGGUCGUGACUUUGGCAUUUCGGUUUUAAUCUGAAGACCUGCCUUUGUGCACCAAGGGCUCUCUCCAGGGCUAAUUGGACCAUUAUGUUGCGAAAUUCUGACCGAUGGUUGGGUGCAAAAUGUUGGUGCCUUUGGUUGACGAAGUACUUGCAUGUUUCAGGGUGUGGUGUCUCAUUGCACCACCAGGCGAUAUUGCUAGCUUUAGAGCUCUUAGAUUCUGCACUGAAGAAAAUUGAAGACAGGAGGAAGAUGAAAAAAAUUGCCAAUGACCUAAUCUUGGUUGCCAUAGUUUUCGAUUUGCAAUUUCUGAAUGGGGUUUGAUUGUUGAGGAUUUUAUGGGUGGUCUCAGUCUCGUAGCAAGGGGUUUCUUUAAACAGUAGAAAGAAGAAAAGCUGUGGUAGUAA